rnacentral:rRNA from 1 species
ACAUCAAAGUCGGAGGGGUAAAUAGUGUAGCAAUACAUUAUGAGACCAGCAAAUGGGUGCGGAACACGUACGCAACCUUCCUUAGAGCGGGGAAUAGCCCAGAGAAAUUUGGAUUAAUACCCCCAUAGUAUUUAGAGAAGCAUUUUCUCUUUAUUAAAGAUUUAUCACUAUAAGAUGGGCGUGCGGCUGAUUAGGUAGUUGGCGGGGUAACGGCCCACCAAGCCUACGAUCAGUAGCUGAUGUGAGAGCAUGAUCAGCCACACGGGCAAUGAGACACGGGCCCGACUCCUACGGGAGGCAGCAGUAAGGAAUAUUGGUCAAUGGACGCAAGUCUGAACCAGCCAUGCCGCGUGGAGGAUGAAGGUCCUCUGGAUUGUAAACUUCUUUUAUUUGGGAAGAAAUGUAGACAUUCUUGUUUACUUGACGGUACCAGAUGAAUAAGCACCGGCUAACUCCGUGCCAGCAGCCGCGGUAAUACGGAGGGUGCAAGCGUUAUCCGGAUUCACUGGGUUUAAAGGGUGCGUAGGCGGGCAGGUAAGUCAGUGGUGAAAUCUUCAAGCUUAACUUGGAAACUGCCAUUGAUACUAUCUAUCUUGAAUAUUGUGGAGGUUAGCGGAAUAUGUCAUGUAGCGGUGAAAUGCUUAGAUAUGACAUAGAACACCGAUUGCGAAGGCAGCAGGCUAGACAGGCAUCGACGCUGAGGCUCGAAAGCGUGGGGAUCGAACAGGAUUAGAUACCCUGGUAGUCCACGCCCUAAACGAUGAUUACUCGACAUACGCGAUACACUGUGUGUGUCCAAGCGAAAGCAUUAAGUAAUCCACCUGGGAAGUACGACCGCAAGGUUGAAACUCAAACGAAUUGACGG